rnacentral:misc_RNA from 1 species
GAUGAAGAACGUAGCGAAAUGCGAUAAGUAAUGUGAAUUGCAGAAUUCAGUGAAUCAUCGAAUCUUUGAACGCACAUUGCGCCCCCUGGUAUUCCGGGGGGCAUGCCUGUUCGAGCGUCAUUUCACCACUCAAGCCUCGCUUGGUAUUGGGCAACGCGGUCCGCCGCGUGCCUCAAAUCGUCCGGCUGGGUCUUCUGUCCCCUAAGCGUUGUGGAAACUAUUCGCUAAAGGGUGUUUGGGAGGCUACGCCGUAAAACAACCCCAUUUCUAAGGUUGACCUCGGAUCAGGUAGGGAUACCCGCUGAACUUAAGCAUAUCAAUAAGCGGAGGA